GAGGUGGCACAAAAUCGGAGGCCCCGACUGUUUACUAAAAACACAACAGUCUGCAAUGAUGAAUAUCAUAGUAUAGAUUGUGAAAUUUGCCCGAUGCCAUUAAUAUAAGAGCGGUCAUUGAAAAAUGUGACUAAUCGAAAGUCUGGUUAAUAGCGGUCUUAACCAUGAGGAUCCUAAGGUAGCAAAAUCAGUUGGCCAUUAAAUGUGGUCCGGUAUCAAUAAUGUAACGAUGGUCUCACUGUCUCUACAACUUGCUCAGUUGAA
rnacentral:rRNA from 1 species